ACUCCUGCGGGAGGCAGCAGUGGGGAAUAUUGGACAAUGGGCGCAAGCCUGAUCCAGCCAUGCCGCGUGAGUGAUGAAGGCCCUAGGGUUGUAAAGCUCUUUCACCGGUGAAGAUAAUGACGGUAACCGGAGAAGAAGCCCCGGCUAACUUCGUGCCAGCAGCCGCGGUAAUACGAAGGGGCUAGCGUUGUUCGGAUUUACUGGGCGUAAAGCGCACGUAGGCGGACUAUUAAGUCAGGGGUGAAAUCCCGGGGCUCAACCCCGGAACUGCCUUUGAUACUGGUAGUCUUGAGUUCGAGAGAGGUGAGUGGAAUUCCGAGUGUAGAGGUGAAAUUCGUAGAUAUUCGGAGGAACACCAGUGGCGAAGGCGGCUCACUGGCUCGAUACUGACGCUGAGGUGCGAAAGCGUGGGGAGCAAACAGGAUCAGAAACCCCAGUAGUCCCA
rnacentral:rRNA from 1 species